AACUUUUUUCUUCUUCUUCAACAAUGGCGAGGUUCAUUGAGCUCUGCUUCUGGCUUUUCUCCUAGUCCAACUUCGUCCUCUCCACCAUAGCUCUCGUCGACGCCAUCGCCGCAACCCGCCGCCGAUUCACCUUCGCCCAAAACUCCAUCUCUGAUUUUCCUUCCUCCAUCUCUGUCGGAUGCUCCAAUUAACACACCACAUCCUUCUUCACCUUCGGCGCCACCGCCAUCAUCUCCGUCUCAAUCUUCGUUGGCCGACGACAAGCCUCCAAUUCCUUCUCCAGCGCCGUCGAAUCCGAGCGAGGUCAACCACAGCAACCUCGAACGGAGACGUAGCUAAGAACUCCUCUAGAGAAAUGAGCAUGGCAAGGAAGGCAGAGAUCGUACUUGGAAUGAUCGUUGGAUAACAUUCGUCGAUCUCAGUACGGAUACGACGCCAGGAGAGAGAUUCUCUGAAGAACUACUCAUAGUCUCUCAUACGCAAAAGCUCUUACAGCAGCUUCUGCCUCAGCUGGCAUAACUGUGUUGUACUUUAGUAACUUGAGCCACUGCAAUUUUGGAGAGGAAUGCCAAAAAUACCAUAUGGCAGUUGCAUUGGCGUACCUGAGCUGGGUAUUUCCUUUUGCCUUUGCGAUUGUUUCUGGUGAAACUGUGGACAAUUGGAGGUGGUUUCUGCAAAGGAUAUCGGAUGUCUUGCUAGGCUUUUUUGAGUUGUUUUUUUUUUGAAUUUUUGUAUGAAAUGGUAUUAACAAUGUACUUUUAUGACAUGGUA